GCCCUAAAACCAAUCCAAGAACCUUAAUUGUAGCUGGUAAGGCCAUAAUCCCGGCCCCAAUAAUAGUUGUGGUGAGAUUAAAAACCGCACCAUAAAUCCCAGACUCGCUGUUGGAUUUGGAAAGAACAAGUGGAUAAUUAUCAAUAUCAAAAUCAUCAUCAUCAUCAUCACCACCUAAAAUUCCAGCAUUCUCGAUCCUGGGAUCUCCAAAGUUCUCCUCAUCAUUAAGAGGGAGCAAUUUGACGUGGGUUUUUCGAGGGUGUAUUGGGAUCUCAGGAUCAUGAUUCAAUUGUAAUUCUACAAACGAAUUCUUGGGAAUAGCUGUGUAAUUGCUAUCCAUUAAAUAUACAAAACAAAGAAUGAAUCUAAUUGAUAUAGAACCUUUGCAGAUCUUGAAAUGCAGAAAAAGGGAAAAGAAAAUGGAAGCGAAAGCUUACAGAGAGAUUAAGAGAGGCCCCAAGAUCU
rnacentral:misc_RNA from 1 species